CAUUUCCAAACUCAUUUCAUAAUAACCCUAAGCCUUCCCUCCCUUUUAUUUACUGACCUUCCUAUCUCUCUCUUCUUUACCUAACACCCCAAACUUUCUGGAUUAUUCAUCCCCUUUCUCUCGUAUCAUCCCACCAUACUCAAGAACCCUAAUUUUUUUUUGUUAUUUGACUUUCUCUCUCCUCCAAAAACCCAGAUCUGAAAUUAAAAUCAUGAAAUUUCACCUCCAAAAUAUCUAAAUUCAUAAUCUAGUGUUGUUCUUGGUAUUUUUAAGCUUUCGAAUCGAGACCUCUAUUUCUCAUGAUGAAGGGUAAAAAGCGACAGAUUUCAGACACUUUCAAAGACAUCUAUGGAAAUGUUUACUACGAGUUUGAAGAUGUUGAUCCUGAUCCAGAAUGGGAACGGAUUCGAGAGAAGCUAGAUCGUGAAAGAUGCGGAUCUAAUGACACUAAAGAAGAAAACAAAAAAAUGGUGUAUUUGAGAUUGGUUGCAAAUACUCAAAAGAAGAGAGCAAAACCACAGUCACCUGAUAUUGAAAGUCUUAGAUGGGACUUGGACGAAAUCCCUGAAGUACCAGAUACACCCGACAAUCCGGGCGUUAAUGACAAUCCGGGUGUUGGGUUCCCCCACAAAUUUCGUAUUGGUGUCUUGUUUCCUCCGACUACUGAAAGUCUACCUCAAUCUCACAAAGUCCCUAGUACAAGUACAACCCCUGCUUAUGCAGUACAAAUCUCUCCACUCAAACAAGCGUCUGUGCUGAAAAUUGAAUACGAUUCUGAUGAGACUCAACCAUGAACUCCAUGUAUCAGGUGUAUUUGUUGCUUACAUCUUGCUGGUUGUUAACAUUUCUGUGGCUUUGUUGACAUUAUGUUGGUUGCUUACAUUUAGUUUGGCUUUGUUGACAUUAUGCUGGUUGUUGACAUUUUCUGUGGCUUUGUUGACAAUAUGUUGGUUGCUUACUUUUUGUGUGGCUCUGUGGGUUCAGUUAUACGUGGUAAUGUAGUGUUUAAAUUGGUGUAAUCCUCGGUGAUGUGUAGACAUUUUCUGAAAGGGAACACUAACACAUUCGCUGGAGUAAUUUGUUUUAACUUCAUAAUUUUGAGGUCUGAAUGAUUGUAGGUGCAUCUAAAUGUUGGUAAUAUGCGUACAUUAUGUUUAAAAUUGAGGGGCCCAAUGAUCAUGAUCCUCAAUGAUGAAAUGGAGGUGUUUUAUAUCUGAAAUACCAAUGUUUGGAUUAUUCUACUGUUUACCACCUUAUAAAUUAGAAUACGUGACCAAAUUCUCCAAUACAAUGUGUUAGAAGUCCCUUUAUGAUGUUAAUAGUGUCAUUUUAAUUCUGAGAGGACUCUGUCAUUUCUGUGAUCAUAAUGUGAGAGUGUAACACCCCGACAAUUCUCUCUUUUCUAAAAUAACCUUUUAAUAUAAAACGUAGAGAAUUAUCAAGGCAUUAUCGCCCGUGUGAAAACGUAACGGCUUAUUCAGAAUUUUGCAGCGGAAAACAUAAAACUAACUUUAGGUUUAUAAAUAAUCGAUUACAGGUUUAGUCCCAAAAAAUCAACCAACGAAAAUAAGGAAAUAUAAAUAGUACGACAAGUUUAAAGUCCAAUUAAACAAACCCAAGUCAACUUAGCAAAUCAAAACUAAAUACAAGCUCUCUAUUCCCAAUCCCAAUGAUGCAACAUCUUCAAACCUGCAGAUGGACAAUGCUUAUUGAUCCUUAGAGAUUGCUCACCAAAGAUUGGGUCAUCACAGGAUCAAAAAGGCAUAGCCAUGAUCAACAUGCACAAGCAAAAGCACGUAAUCAGCAAAGCUGGGUACUACAUACUAAAUCAAUAAUAAUCCUAACAUGAUUCUAUUAAACGAACAACCCUAACAUGAUACUAAUGAACACAAACAAAGGCAGACAAAACAUGAUAGUUUGACGACCAUACUUGACCAGACUAGACUAGGCUAGACUUUUAGCAAUAAUAUUAUUUUAGUUGAAAUAGACAAUGGACCGAGUUGACCGUCCGACAGCCUUCACUAAGGAAGACGAGGUACGGGCGCGACUCCGUAACCUCGGAGACCUGCGAUAUCGAGGAACAUUUGAAUAAAAAUAGGACACGGUGAUCAAUCCGGUCCGAGAUAAAGGCCAUGGGCUACCACCAUGAACCCCAACUCCUGUUUUUCCGUCACUUUAGACGUGCACAGUCUAAAGCUAUUGCUACUCAGUUUCACUUUACAUGAUUUACAAAUUGAGACUCUGUUAUGACUCAACAAUCACAUAAGGCAUAUAAUCCACAUUCGUUCACAACUGUUUUUAUCUUGGAAUUAAGUACGUGAUCAUAAAGGCAUCAAUCAAGACUCAUUCCAAUUUACCCAACCUUUCCUUUAACCAUGAUCAACCCUGUAUAUGGGUAUAAAGUCUCAACUUACUAAACAAGGUCCACCGCCCUCAUAAAGUAGUGAAAAGCUAGAAAGGGAACAAUAAUCAAUCGAUCCAAACCAACAUAUAGAAUAAUCUAGUGUUCCCAACCAACAUGUUUGUAUCAAUCACAUACUAACAUGUUACAAUUCUCAUAAUGCAAUAUAAGUUCAAUAUGUCCGUCCAACAGUAUUAAACAUGCAAUUUCAACAUAACCAAGCUCAACAACAAAUUCAACAUGGUUUCAACAAUUAGCACACAUUCCAAGCACACAGGUAUGUACGUACCUUGUGUAAACAAACUGAUAGGCCACUUUAACACUUUCAAAAGUCGCCUAAAGAGAAUUCUCUGCCUAAAACAACCAACAAGGAUUUCCAAUCAACUUCAAAUCAUUCACAACUAUACUAGAGCAUUCUAAAUACAUCCUAAACAUGUUCAGAACAUUCCCCAAUAUCAAAACUUGAAUGUUUAAUUUCCUAGCAUAACAAUUAUUGAAUUAAUUAUUGAAAUUCGUUGAAAACUCUUCGCAAACAUCAUACUUUAAAUUUUCAGCAAUAUGAAAUCGUUUAAAGCUUUCCCAAAACCAGAUUAUCAUGCUUAGAACAUAAAAAUAAUAAUUUUAAUAAUACAUAACCAUUCUAUCAUGAUUAAAACCUUAAAAAAAUCAUGUUUUAAUAAUUAAAAUCCUUAUUUUAAUUCAAUUAUAUAAAUCUGAAAAUUAAAUUAUUAAUUAUGCAAAGUAUAUAAUCUGAAAUUCCUAACUUUAUAAUAAGACUAUAAUUUAAUUCAAGAAACAUGAAUAAACUAAUAAAACAUAUUUAAUAAAACAUGCUUAAAAUAUUUAACUAUCUUAGGGUUUGAGAAAUUUACCAAAUGGAGAGGAGAGAGGGAGGCUGCCGGCGGCAGGAGCGUGGCUGGGCGGCACACGGUGGUGCGCUGGUGGCAGCGAGGGUGGUGGAUGGGCGAAUGAGCAAGGACGCAGAUUAACAGCCACGAAAAAAGAGAAAAAGAAAAACGAAGGAGGAAGGAGGGAAGAAAGGGAAGGAGGAACUAUCGUGCUGGACGGCGAGGCUGCGGCGUCGGUGGCUGAAGCAAGGCGGUUCACGGUGGUUGCUGUAAACAUGCCACGAUUAAGGAGAGAGCAAGCAACGAAAUAAAGAAAGAAAAAGAACGAAAGAGAGGAGGAAAGAGGAGACUACCGGACAACGGAAGGCGGCGGCGAGGGACGCCGGCAAUCGAGCAGGUGACUGGUGGUGGUGGCGGCGUGAGAAACAACAAGCAAGGGAAGGAGCAAUGGCAGUUACGUGAACCUUGAAGGAGGGUUUGUUUUGUUUUUUUUUUUUUUUUUUUUCUGUUUUCACGUGAAAGUGAAGAGAAGGGAGGAGAGGAGAGUUGUGUUUUAUUGUUUUGGGCUUCACCCAAUUGGGCUAGAAAUAGAAUUUAGCUUAGCAUUUGAAUUCAACACCGCUUACGAUUGUUUUCCAAAUUCAAUCUUUUUUGUAAUUCGAAUUCUUUACGAAAUAAAAUUCUAAAAUUAUUUUUGAUUUCGUAAAUUCUUAAAAUAUUUAAAAUGCUUAUGAAUAAAUAAAUAUACAUUAAAUAUGUAUAUUUAUUACUAAAAUUCACCAGUAUAAUUUAAAUAUAAUUAAUUUUUCGUAAAACUAAAUUAAUAAACUUAUAAAUAUACGGGGGAUUACAAUCUACCCCUCUUAAAAGAAGUUUUGUCCCGAAACUUGACACAAGAACUCACACAAUUUUCGAAAGUCUUUAAUUCAUUCUUACUAGCACUACUACAGAAAUGUCAUUUAAUAGCGUUUAUUUAAUAGCGCUUUUGCCUCUUCAGCUAUCAAAAAUUUAAAAAACAACAUAUUAUAGCGCUUAUCUAAAAAGCGCUGUGGUAUGUUCACAUAUUAUAGCGUUUAGAUCUUCUGCGCUAUCAUAUUACCCGUUUAUUAUAGUAAAAAAGACUUCCCGUUUAUUAUAGGGAACAAAAUGUUAAAACGAGUAAAAAGUUAACCGCCUAACUCUUUCUCUCCUCGGAUUCUCUUCAGUCAAUCUGCAAAACCUCAAAACCCCAAAAGUCUCAAUGGACGCCGAAACCCUCCUACCAAAGUCCUUCACACGGCGACGAGUUCCUUCAGGCGGCGGCGAUUUAUUUCAGAUGGCGGCGUUUUCUCUCGCCCUGCGCCCUACGAUGCUUCUUCUCACUACGAAAUUGAAUUUUAAGGUAAUUCAUCCACAAAAUUUGCGGAAUUUGUUGAUUAUGUUUGGUUUAAUUUUGAUUGGGUUAAUUAUGGGCUAUGGGUUUUUGUUCCUCUGAAUUGGUAUACCUAGGUAGUGAGCAUUUAGAUUGUAAUUGGGUUUUGAUUCUUAAUUUUGAUAAUAGGUUGUCGAAUUAUUUGAUUUCAUGAUUGCAUUGGAGCAAAACUUAUGGCUACCAUAAUCCAUUAAUCAAUUCACUCAUGUCAUUCCAUGUAAAUUAAACACUGUAAGAAGAUGAAAUCUGUAAUAACUAUUACAAAGUUAACCCAACUUGUAUAACUAUUACAAAGUUAACAAAAUUUAUGCUUUUUGACUUGCCAAAUUUAGAGAGCAUCUAUGAUCGGCAAGUACUGAGUUGCCCGUCUUUGCUUAGAUUUGAGGUGUUUAAUUAUAAAAAACUCAAGCUUCUUGAGGUCUUGGUGGGACGACAAAAUUGUAUUAUUGAGAUUGUAGGAGAGAAAGAAUGGACUGAUAAAGUGAUUGAGUAUGGUCCAAGCUCACAUUUAAAUAUACUGAAGCAUUAGUUCCUGCAGUGCUAUCUACUCCUAUGUGUUCUUGUGUUGGGUUGCUUGAGGAGGCAGAGAUUGUGGAUGUUACAUACUAUUAUGCUUAGGUAUCUCGCAUCGCCUGGAAGCUCACCAGGUUAUUGACUAUUGUAGCUCAUAUUGGUGGUAUAAUAUUUGUUAAAGUAGUAUCUGGAUUGUUGGAAAAAUGGGUUCAGAAGGUCCUGCACCGUCAGCAGUAACAGACUAACAGUUCAUGUUAAGAAGUUUCAUGGAGUUGCUGAAAAUCCGACAGAGACAAUUGUGCGUAAUCUGAAAGAAUACAUGGAGAAGAAGGGUUUACCAAAAGGGCUGGCUUUAGGGAGCUGCAAUGUUCUUGAAACUGCAGGACUUGGGGCAUUUGCUCCUCUUCAUCAGACGCUGCCAUCUGCCAUUAAUAGGAAUGAUUCAGAAUUGCCAAAUUCUGGGACUGUUAUUUGGGUAUGCAGAGAUCGUAUAAUUCAGGAGGAGUUCAAUUCUCUAAGCCUUUCUAAGUUGCAGAAGUAUUUGACAGAUGAGGAAUACAGUCUCUCUCCCCGUCAGUUUUGCUCAGGUUUUCUUCUGGGAAAUAUGCUUUUUGUCCCUGCUACAAUAUGGCUCUUGGGUUUUAUAUCUUGUUGCGAGAUGUAGACCAAUUUGGUGCUAACUAUAACAGUUUUGCUGGCCGGCCAGUGAGAGAUAGAUGAAGAUAUAUCUCGACUAAAGACUAGUUGUCAGCUUACUAGCUGAUCUUGGCUGCAAUUGAUCAAUCUUGUUCGAGGAUCUCAUAAAUUAAAUCUCCCAGUUUGGGGCUGCAGAGCUACAUGCGGUCUCUUCCUUCAUAGGCGGGAUUGCGUCACAUGAAGUGAUAAAGUACUUUUCAGAUUGUCAGUUUCCAAGUUAUGACAAGGAGCAGAUUGACUAAGUAAGAACCGAAUGGGUGCGCCAUGUUGUUCAACAAUUGUAUAAUAGCUAGGUUAUGUUGAAGGAACAAAAAAAAUAAGACUCUAUUAAUUAAUGUAUUUUACGUAGUUUAAUGUUUAGAAUUUUAUUUUAGAUCUAUGUAAUCGGUUUUAUUAGGGUUACAAUUGCAAAAAUUCUUUUAAUUCAGGUUUGGAAAUUAAUUUUCAACUAUUUACUAUUCUUCAA